UCCUGGCUCAGGACAAACGCUGGCGGCGUGUAUUAGGCAUGCAAGUCGAGCGCGAAGCGGGCCUUCGGGCCCGUGGAGAGCGGCGGACGGGUGAGUAACACGUGGUAACCUGCCCCGGAGUGGGGGAUAACCCGGCGAAAGCCGGGCUAAUACCGCAUACGGCGCCCGGUGGGAAUCCGGGAGGUCAAAGCUCCGGCGCUCCGGGAGGGGCCCGCGUCCGAUUAGCUGGUUGGUGGGGUAACGGCUCACCAAGGCGACGAUCGGUAGCUGGUCUGAGAGGAUGAUCAGCCACACGGGGACUGAGAACGGCCCCGACUCCUACGGGAGGCAGCAGCUAAGAAUCUUGCGCAAUGGGCGAAAGCCUGACGCAGCAACGCCGCGUGCGGGAGGAAGGCCUUCGGGUUGUAAACCGCUUUUGCGAGGGAAGAAGUCUGACGGUACCUCGCGAAUAAGCCACGGCUAACUACGUGCCAGCAGCCGCGGUAAUACGUAGGUGGCAAGCGUGUCCGGAUUUACUGGGCGUAAAGCGCCCGCAGACGGCCCGGCAGUUNNCAGUGAAAUCUCCGGCUCACCNGGGAGGGUCCUGGAAAACUGCAGCUUGAGCAGGNAGGGGAUGNGAUUNCNGUGUAGCGUGAAUGCGAGAUUCGGAGGACACAGCGCGAAGGGCAUCUNGCCUGUCUGACGUCAGGGCGAAGCGGGG
rnacentral:rRNA from 1 species